GAUGAACGCUGGCGGCGUGCCUAAUACAUGCAAGUCGAACGAGGUGCUUUUGUAGCAAUACGAGAGUAUCCUAGUGGCGAACGGGUGAGUAACGCGUUGGUGACCUACCCCAAAGUGUGGAAUAACAGUCCGAAAGGAUUGCUAAUACCGCAUGUGGUUAUCGGGUUUAGAAACUGAUAACUAAAGGAGCAAUUCGCUUUGGGAGGGACCUGCGUCCCAUCAGCUAGUUGGUGAGGUAAUGGCUCACCAAGGCUACGACGGGUAGGGGACCUGAGAGGGUGACCCCCCACAAUGGAACUGAAACACGGUCCAUACACCUACGGGUGGCAGCAGUAGGGAAUAUUGCACAAUGGGCGAAAGCCUGAUGCAGCAACGCCGCGUGCACGAUGAAGGCCUUCGGGUCGUAAAGUGCUUUUCUGGGAGAUGAGAAAGGACAGUAUCCCAGGAAUAAGUCUCGGCUAACUACGU
rnacentral:rRNA from 1 species